rnacentral:rRNA from 1 species
AGAUUGAACGCUGGCGGCAGGCCUAACACAUGCAAGUCGAGCGGCAGCACGGGUACUUGUACCUGGUGGCGAGCGGCGGACGGGUGAGUAAUGCCUAGGAAUCUGCCUGGUAGUGGGGGAUAACGCUCGGAAACGGACGCUAAUACCGCAUACGUCCUACGGGAGAAAGCAGGGGACCUUCGGGCCUUGCGCUAUCAGAUGAGCCUAGGUCGGAUUAGCUAGUUGGUGAGGUAAUGGCUACACCAAGGCGACGAUCCGUAAUGGUCUGAGAGGAUGAUCAGUCACACGUGAACUGAGACCACGGUCCAGACCUCCGUAGGGAGCAGCAGGUAGGGAAUAGUUGGAACAAGUGGGACGAAAGCCUAGACUCC